ACUACGGGUGGCAGCAGUGAGGAAUAUUGGUCAAUGGGCGAGAGCCUGAACCAGCCAAGUCGCGUGAGGGAGUACUGCCCUAUGGGUUGUAAACCUCUUUUGUCGGGGAGCAAAAGCCGGACGUGUCCGGCUGUGAGAGUACCCGAAGAAAAAGCAUCGGCUAACUCCGUGCCAGCAUCCGCGGUAAUACGGAGGAUGCGAGCGUUAUACGGUUGUAUUGGGUUUAAAGGGUGCGCAGGCGUAUGUUUAAGUCAGCGGUCAAAUCGUGGGGCUAAACCCCAUCCAGCCGGUGAAACUGGGGAUCUAGAGUGUGCGAGAGGUAUGCGGAAUGCGGGGUGUAGCGGUGAAAUGCAUAGAUAUACGGAGGAACACCAGUGGCGAAGGCGGCCUGCUUGACAUUAACUGACGCUGAGGCGCGAAAGCGUGGGGAGCAAACAGGAUUAGAUACCCUUGUAGUC
rnacentral:rRNA from 1 species